rnacentral:rRNA from 1 species
UACGGAGGGUGCGAGCGUUAUUCGGAAUUACUGGGCGUAAAGCGCGUGUAGGCGGGGAAGCAAGUCUGAUGUGAAAGCCCCGGGCUUAACCUGGGAAGUGCAUUGGAAACUGUUUUUCUUGAGUACUGGAGAGGAAGGGAGAAUUCCCGGUGUAGAGGUGAAAUUCGUAGAGAUCGGGAGGAACACCAGUGGCGAAGGCGCCCUUCUGGACGGUUACUGACGCUGAGAAGCGAGAGCGUGGGGAGCAAACAGG